AUGGAGCACUGGGGCAGAAGACACUGGGUGUGGAGAAACUAAGUAUGAAGAAAUGGGGUAUGGAACACUGACAAAAGAGGAACUGGGAGGGGGACAAAGGGUCCCUUAAAGGUCAGCUCAGCUAUAAUC